ensembl:snRNA U6 U6 spliceosomal RNA
GUGCUCACUUUGGCAGCACAUAUACUAAUACUGGAACAAUACAGAAAAAAUUAGAAUGGCCCCUGCACAUGGAUGACACAAAUUCAUGAAGUGUUCCAUAUUUUU